rnacentral:rRNA from 1 species
UACGGAGGGUGCUAGCGUUGUUCGGAAUCACUGGGCGUAAAGGGCGUGUAGGCGGCCUGCUAAGUCUGAUGUGAAAUCCCCUCGCUCAACGAGGGAACUGCGUCGGAUACUGGCAGACUCGAGUACCGGAGAGGAAGGUGGAAUUCCCGGUGUAGCGGUGAAAUGCGUAGAUAUCAGGAGGAACACCGGUGGCGAAGGCGGGUCUCUGGGCAACAACUGACGCUGGAGGAGCGAAAGCGUGGGGAGCGAACAGG